rnacentral:rRNA from 1 species
CCUACGUGUGGCAGCAGUGAGGAAUAUUGGUCAAUGGACGAGAGUCUGAACCAGCCAAGUAGCGUGAAGGAUGACUGCCCUAUGGGUUGUAAACUUCUUUUAUAAAGGGAUAAAACGAGGCACGUGUGCCUUUUUGCAUGUACUUUAUGAAUAAGGAUAGGCUAACUCCGUGCCAUCAGCCGCGGUAAUACGGAGGAUCCGAGCGUUAUGCGGAUUUAUUGGGUUUAAAGGGAGCGUAGGUGGGUUGGUAAGUCAGUUGUGAAAGUUUGCGGCUCAACCUGAAAAUUGCAAUUGAUACUGGCAGGCUUGAGUAUAGUAGAGGUAGGUAGAAUUCGAGGUGUAGCGGUGAAAUGCUUAGAUAUCAGGAAGAACCCCGAUGGCGAAGGCAG